rnacentral:lncRNA from 1 species
UGAUGUUUGAAUCAUCUACAGCAAACAUAAUUAUGUUUAAAUUUAACAAAUAACAAUUUAUGAUUAGUGCACGAACUGUGAGAAUGAUCUAAAUAACCAGUGAAGGAUAUCCCUGCUUCUGCAUAGUGUCGCAUUCCAACAAUGACGUCAUUAUAAAAUAUAAUGUAGGUUGGAUAUAUUUAGAAUAUCUCGUCAUACUGAUUUUUCCAGAUUGUAAAAGAAACGUAAAUAGUAUAAAAGAGAGCUCAAAAUACGAUAAUUUCGCUAGAAACAGAAGGGAAAUGUGUAGAAAAGUGUUUAAAGUCAAUCUAUUCAUUUGUGUGUUUCCUUCUCAUCAAUCUCAGUAAGAUUUGUUGGGG